rnacentral:rRNA from 1 species
GAGUUUGAUCCUGGCUCAGGACGAACGCUGGCGGCGUGCUUAAUACAUGCAAGUCGAGCGAGGUUAUUUUACUGCGUUUCUUCGGAAGCAAAGUUUCUUAACCUAGCGGCGGAUGGGUGAGUAACGCGUGGGUAACCUACCCUAAAGUUCGGGAUAACAGUUGGAAACGAUUGCUAAUACCGAAUAUUCUCUUUUUGUGGCAUCACAUUAAGAGGAAAGGUUACGCUUUAGGAUGGACCCGCGUCCCAUUAGCUAGUUGGUAAGGUAAUGGCUUACCAAGGCGACGAUGGGUAGCCGGCCUGAGAGGGUGUACGGCCACACUGGGACUGAGACACGGCCCAGACUCCUACGGGAGGCAGCAGUAGGGAAUAUUGCGCAAUGGAGGGAACUCUGACGCAGCGACGCCGCGUGAGCGAUGAAGGUCUUCGGAUCGUAAAGCUCUGUCCUUGGGGAAGAAGGGUGCAUUAUAGCAUCUGACG